rnacentral:rRNA from 1 species
UACGUAGGGGGCUAGCGUUGUCCGGAUUUAUUGGGCGUAAAGAGCGUGUAGGCGGCCAAGCAGGUCCGCUGUGAAAACUCGAGGCUCAACCUCGAGACGUCGGUGGAAACCGUUUGGCUAGAGUCCGGAAGAGGAGAGUGGAAUUCCCGGUGUAGCGGUGAAAUGCGCAGAUAUCGGGAAGAACACCCGUGGCGAAGGCGGUGUGCUGGGUGCAACUGACGCUGAGAUGCGAA